rnacentral:rRNA from 1 species
GAAUUUGCCUUUAGGAGGGGGAUAACAACUGGAAACGGUUGCUAAUACCCCAUAUGCUUUAGAGUGAAAUAGAUUUAUCUGCCUAGAGAGAAGCUCGCGGCUGAUUAGCUUGUUGGUAAGGUAAUAGCUUACCAAGGCGACGAUCAGUAUCUGGUUUGAGAGGACGAUCAGACACACUGGAACUGAGACACGGUCCAGACUCCUACGGGAGGCAGCAGUGGGGAAUUUUCCGCAAUGGGCGAAAGCCUGACGGAGCAAUACCGCGUGAGGGAAGACGGCCUAUGGGUUGUAAACCUCUUUUUUCAGGGAGGAAUUCAAUGACGUGUACCUGAAGAAUAAGCAUCGGCUAACUCCGUGCCAGCAGCCGCGGUAAGACGGAGGAUGCAAGUGUUAUCCGGAAUCACUGGGCGUAAAGCGUCUGUAGGUGGUCCAAUAAGUCAACUGUUAAAUCUUGAGGCUCAACCUCAAAAUUGCAGUCGAAACUAUUAGACUUGAGUAUAGUAGGGGUAAAGGGAAUUUCCAGUGGAGCGGUGAAAUGCGUAGAGAUUGGAAAGAACACCGAUGGCGAAGGCACUUUACUGGGCUAUUACUAACACUCAGAGACGAAAGCUAGGGUAGCA